rnacentral:sRNA from 1 species
ACGCAAGAGCAGAGGAGGACGAGAACAGCAGAGCACUGGU